rnacentral:tRNA from 1 species
AGCGAUAGCGAACAGGCCGGGACGUAACGAAAUUUUCUCAAUCUUCAAACCCGGGUUCGAUUCCCGGUAGCGCUACCA